rnacentral:snoRNA from 1 species
UCCCGAUGAAGAAAACAUUCACACGUCUUACUUCCUGUCCCAGUCCCAGAGCCUGUAAAGGUGAACCCCACUGAGACUGGCUGGGAAGAGAAGAGGAAAGUUUGUUCCCAGAAGGAAACUGUCUUGAGGGAC